AUGGUGGGUGAAUCAAGUUCGCAGGGACAGCAGGGGAAGGAGACGACGGAGGAACUAUUUGCCAGGUUGAAUCUGCAGGAGGAGGAAGAUGAUGAUUUCGUGUGGGAGGAAUUGCCGGACUUGGAGGCGCCGGCGAAGUGGCUUGCUAUAGCAAGGGUACACACUUCCAAGAUUUUCAGCCCUAAUGCUCUGUAUGGGGACAUGCGUGCCGCAUGGAACCCUGCGAAAACGGUGGUUUGGAGGAAGGUCAAGGACAACUUGUUCACGGCUCAAUUCGGAUGUCUAGGGGACUAG
rnacentral:rRNA from 1 species